rnacentral:rRNA from 1 species
AGGAUAAACGCUGGCGGCGUGCCUAACACAUGCAAGUCGAACGCUCUUUUGCUCGCAAGAGCCAGAGGGAGUGGCGGACGGGUGAGUAACACAUGGGUAACCUACCCCCCAGUGAGGAAUACCGGCGAGAAAUCGCCGACAAGACCGCAUAGGCUCGGUCCGGUGAAGCGGAGCGAGCAAAGUCUCGCAAGAGACGCUGAGGGAUGGGCCUGUGGCCGAUUAGCUAGUUGGUAAGGUAAAGGCUUACCAAGGCGACGAUCGGUAGCUGGUCUGAGAGGACGAACAGCCACACUGGGAUUGAGAACGGCCCAGACUCCUACGGGGGGCAGCAGUGAGGAAUUUUCCGCAAUGGACGCAAGUCUGACGGAGCAACGCCGCGUGCAGGAGGACGCUUUUCGGAGUGUAAACUGCUUUUCUGUGGGACGAGAGUGGACGGUACCACAGGAAGAAGCCCCGGCUAACUACGUGCCAGCAGCCGCGGU